AAGUCGUAACAAGGUCUCCGUAGGUGAACCUGCGGAGGGAUCAUUAACACGUAUCCAACACGUUCAAACCAAACCGCGCUCUUUAUUCUCCCAUACACAAUAAGUGACUAGUAAGCCAUCAGAUGGAUUUCUGCUCUCUACCUCUUUAAAAAGGUGGUUAGCAGGACUACUUACAGUCUAUCGAUCCUCGAGAUCACCUUAUUUUGCUAUGGUGUAAUCCUCAAGCCAUCUGGGUUACUAGUACCAAACCGGUUUCGACCCGGAGUCUAGUAGCCUUACUAAACCCCAUUUUUUUAACCCCUUUAUUUUACAUUUUUACUGACUUACUCAAAGCUUGCAUUUAUUUGCAGUUUUGAUAUACGAAACGCGAACAACUCUUAGCAAUGGAUAUCUUGGUUCUC
rnacentral:misc_RNA from 1 species